UACGUAGGGCGCAAGCGUUAUCCGGAAUUAUUGGGCGUAAAGAGCUCGUAGGCGGUUUGUCGCGUCUGCCGUGAAAGUCCGGGGCUCAACCCCGGGCCUGCAGCCGAUACGGGCAAACUAGAAUUCGGUAGGGGAGACUGGAAUUCCCGGUGUAGCGGUGAAAUGCGCAGAUAUCGGGAGGAACACCGGUGGCGAAGGCGGUUCUCUGGGCCUGUACUGACGCUGAGGAGCGAAAGCGUGGGGAGCGAACAGG
rnacentral:rRNA from 1 species